rnacentral:rRNA from 1 species
AAUGAACGCUGGCGGCGUGCCUAACACAUGCAAGUCGGAUGUGCCGCAAGGUGCAUGGCAGACGGGUGAGUAACGCGUAGGGAAUCUACCUUUUUGUGGGGAAUAACGUUCCGAAAGGAAUGGUAAUACCGCAUGAGACCAUGGACUGGGAUGUUUAUGGUGAAAGCUGGGGACCGCAAGGCCUAGCGCAAGAAGAGGAUCCUGCGUCUGAUUAGCUAGUUGGCGGGGUAAUGGCCCACCAAGGCGACGAUCAGUAGCCGGCCUGAGAGGGUGAUCGGCCACACUGGAACUGAGACACGGUCCAGACUCCUACGGGAGGCAGCAGUGGGGAAUUUUGCGCAAUGGACGAAAGUCUGACGCAGCAACGCCGCGUGGGUGAUGAAGGUCUUCGGAUCGUAAAACCCUGUCGUCAGGGACGAAGUGUUGGGGGCUAAGUACCCUUCAGCAUUGACGGUACCUGGAGAGGAAGCCCCGGCUAACUCUGUGCCAGCAGCCGCGGUAAU